rnacentral:misc_RNA from 1 species
UUUCCGUAGGUGAACCUGCGGAAGGAUCAUUACAAAUCAUCUGGUGGGCUUGUUGGUAUGCAAAUAUCGAUAACCCACAAUUGUUCGGUGCAGCAAUGCAUCGUUUCGCGCUUGUAUGUUUGUCAUAGUAAUGUUGCCAUAUUAAAGAGACAACUUUUAACAAUGGAUCUCUUGGCUCUU